rnacentral:rRNA from 1 species
UACAGAGGUGGCAAGCGUUGUUCGGAUUUACUGGGCGUAAAGGGUGCGUAGGCGGCCUUGCGUGUCGGGUGUGAAAUCCCACGGAUCAUCCGUGGAACUGCAUUCGAAACUGCGGGGCUGGAGAACAGGAGAGGAAGGUGGAAUUCUCGGUGUAGCGGUGAAAUGCGUUGAUAUCGAGAGGAACGCCGGUGGCGAAGGCGGCCUUCUGGACUGUAACUGACGCUGAGGCACGAAAGCUAGGGGAGCAAACAGG